GAACCUUGGGUAGAAAGUUGUUGGUCAGGAGAACCCAUCACCUACGUCCUCAGCCUGAGAAAAAGGAGUAAUUUCCUUAAAAUUUAACCAAAUCCACCGUAUCCAUCCCCGUUUCUACCCCUCCCCUUUUUAUGCAGCUUUCCAAUGGGUAAAGAACUUUCCAGAAGAAUUUUCUUCUCUGCCUUGCAGCUGCGGGAGACAGGCGGCCAAAUGCAACCGAGCUGCCUUAGCAACCUUUCCUGGCUUGUGAUACCACCAAGUUAAAAUAACUUGGAUUAAAAAAAAUACUGAUCAACAUCAGAAGCGAGCUGACAGGCUGCUGGGAUCCACAAAGGAGGCUAAUAAUUAAAGAGAGAUGGUCUCCAAGGAUUGUAGGUGGACAGAAUCAGCUAGCAUACUGGGUGGCCUCUGUCUCCUUGAUGUAAAGAAAGUAAGAACACAAGAGGAUCUCCAGGUGUUGAUGGCAGCUGACCUGAUCAGAACAGCAAUCUGCACACCCCUGGGCAGAUGUUUCUACUGUCUUGGAAGUACAAAAGUUUGUCCUUUUGAACACUGGAAAAUAUGAAGCCUGGCUUCUCAUGAGCUUGUCCCCUGUGUUUGGAUACCCUAACACUGCAGUUUCAGCAUGCCCUGCCCUUCAAUAUCCUCCUUAUCCAGCUACGUCACCAACUCACUGCCUUCCUCCCACGGACUGGUGAGGACGAUCUAUUGUAUCCUGGAAUAUGGGUGUAGAGUGACUGGCCAGCAGAUAAAAAAAAUACAAGCCCCAAAAUACACAAGAACUUCCCUUUAGGCAGAACUAGUUUGUAUUUUCCUCCCUUGCAUUUGUAUUCAGCAGCCAACUUUCUUAUAAAACAUACGUACCUUUGAGAUUUUUGUCUCUUGAAUGCAGAUGAAAUGUACCCAGGUUAAAAAAAGAUAUGGGG